ACUCCAGCCUUGCCAGUUGUUACAAUGGGUGUGACCUUCUGGCUCCCGGCGAUUAAGCACUUACCAUGUGCCUCUCCUGCUUCAGGGCACCACGCCAGCCUAUAAGCAGCCGCAGGGGUUGAGCCCUGCAGAGCCCCAGAGGCAGAGCUGCCCAAGGCUUUGGGAGCCCACCUCUUGCAUCACUGUGCCCUGGAUGUGAGACGUGGAAUCAAGGAGAUUAUUUUGGAGCUUUAAGACGUAAUGGCACCCUGCUGGGUUUCAGACUUGAGUGGAGCCUGCAGCCUUUCUUUCGGCCGGUUUCUCCCUUUUGGAACGGGAGUAUUUACCCAAUGCCUGUACCCCCAUGGCCACUUCCAGCAUCGAUGGUGUCAGGUCAGGUCCUCUGGGUAGAAGAAAUGGAGUCAGUUAGGAGUGCUGGAGACUGAGUAAGAGGUGGCAGCUGAGGCUUACUACCCCAGGAAAGGGAUGCCACCAGAGAAGGCAGACAACCAAGAUGGCGACUCUCAAUUUUUGAGCUCCUAAUUUUCUCAUGUCAGACAUAAGAAAAAAAAAUAUUUUUUAAAGAAAAAGCUUUAGGUUGCAAAAAUCUAGGCCUUUCAACUUUAAAAUCCUAUUCUUGCAAGCCUUGGAGAAUAAAGCUUAUGCAUAAACAGUAGAUUUGGAAACAGAAAUAUGCCUAAUUACCCAGAGCCAUUCUUUCAAUACGCCAGUGAUUGUUUAAAGAUUCUAUAGGCUGGAGUCAAUGGCAGGAGGCGGGUGGGAAAAGAGUCAAGAGGGAGGAGAGAAGAAGCAAGAGGGUUGGGUAGAUAUUGUCACAUGACCCUGAGAGGAGGAUUCUGGGUCAAACCCCUAGGGGGUUGUGUGUAAUGGAGACUCCAGAUCCAUUUGGGAAUCUGGCUCCAAAGAAGACUUCACCUUGCCUUCUGAGUGGAGCCCUGAAGUGGCAAGACUCAUAGAAUUCCCCCACGGGUCCACACAAGAGAGAAUGAAUAGAGAAGGCUGCGUGCUGGCUGGACCAAGGCAGCCUCGGGUGACACCACCACCACCACCGCCGCUGCCGCCAUCGCCAUCACCACUGCCGCUGCCAUCACCGCCACCACCACCACCAUCACCACCACCAUCACCACAUUAUGGACAAUAGCCCAAUGUUUCCUGAGUUCCCUAGAGGGUUGAAAGAGAAUAGGACCUAGAGAGAUCACAUAGUUGGGACAGGCACUCAUUAAUUUGAUCCAAUGACAAGAGACCAGAUGGGAAGAAGGAUGCCUUGAGAGAUGUCAGUGUGCACCCAUGGAUAGAAGCAGCUGGUGACUGGGUACUUGGGAAGCCACAUGGACACACACAAAGCUCCUGGAAGACGUUUUCAAGGAGUUGGGCUGUGCUGGGAUCCAGAACUGGCUGAAGAAACCAUGAGCUGACAUAAAAUUUCUGCCACCUAGCAGAAUGGAGGCUCCAUUUGGAAAUUAAAUUAUAUACUUAAAAAAACUAUAA
rnacentral:lncRNA from 1 species